rnacentral:rRNA from 1 species
GGUUGCUAUCAUACCAGCACUAAUGCACCGGAUCCCAUCAGAACUCCGCAGUUAAGCGUGCUUGGGCGAGAGUAGUACUAGGAUGGGUGACCCCCUGGGAAGUCCUCGUGUUGCAACCC